rnacentral:rRNA from 1 species
AUGAACGCUGGCGGCGUGCCUUAUACAUGCAAGUCGAGCGAACAGAUGAGGAGCUUGCUCCUCUGACGUUAGCGGCGGACGGGUGAGUAACACGUGGAUAACCUACCUAUAAGACUGGGAUAACUUCGGGAAACCGGAGCUAAUACCGGAUAAUAUAUUGAACCGCAUGGUUCAAUAGUGAAAGACGGUUUUGCUGUCACUUAUAGAUGGAUCCGCGCCGCAUUAGCUAGUUGGUAAGGUAACGGCUUACCAAGGCAACGAUGCGUAGCCGACCUGAGAGGGUGAUCGGCCACACGGGAACGUAGACACGGUCCAGACUCCUACGGGAGGCAGCAGUAGGGAAUCUUCCGCAAUGGGCGAAAGCCUGACGGAGCAACGCCGCGUGAGUGAUGAAGGUCUUCGGAUCGUAAAACUCUGUUAUUAGGGAAGAACAAAUGUGUAAGUAACUAUGCACGUCUUGACGGUACCUAAUCAGAAAGCCACGGCUAACUACGUG